UUGUGAAAUUUCCGAUAUUCCCAAUAAUUUUCCUGUCAAAUCAAAAUAUUCGUACCCUUUAAGUUAAAAGAAUGGUGUUUUCGCUUUGGCAGCAAAAUUGUUGACAUGAAUGCCGAAGCCUUGCAAAAUUUUUAGAUGACAAUGCACAGUUGUUGCUCUUUUUAUACCAGACAUGUUCAGUUUUUGUUUUAAUGACCAAUAAAUACAUAACGCACAAUUUGUGGCAAUAAAAACUGUA